CAUGCAAGUCGAACGAGAGAUGAGGAGCUUGCUCUUCAAAUCGAGUGGCGAACGGGUGAGUAACGCGUGAGGAACCUGCCUCAAAGAGGGGGACAACAGUUGGAAACGACUGCUAAUACCGCAUAAGCCCACGGCUCGGCAUCGAGCAGGGGGAAAAGGAGCAAUCCGCUUUGAGAUGGCCUCGCGUCCGAUUAGCUAGUUGGUGAGGUAAUGGCCCACCAAGGCGACGAUCGGUAGCCGGACUGAGAGGUUGAACGGCCACAUUGGGACUGAGACACGGCCCAGACUCCUACGGGAGGCAGCAGUGGGGAAUAUUGCACAAUGGGGGAAACCCUGAUGCAGCGACGCCGCGUGGAGGAAGAAGGUCUUCGGAUUGUAAACUCCUGUUGUUGAGGAAGAUAAUGACGGUACUCAACAAGGAAGUGACGGCUAACUACGUGCCAGCAGCCGCGGUAAAACGUAGGUCACAAGCGUUGUCCGGAAUUACUGGGUGUAAAGGGAGCGCAGGCGGGAGAACAAGUUGGAAGUGAAAUCCAUGGGCUCAACCCAUGAACUGCUUUCAAAACUGUUUUUCUUGAGUAGUGCAGAGGUAGGCGGAAUUCCCGGUGUAGCGGUGGAAUGCGUAGAUAUCGGGAGGAACACCAGUGGCGAAGGCGGCCUACUGGGCACCAACUGACGCUGAGGCUCGAAAGUGUGGGUAGCAAACAGGAUUAGAUACCCUGGUAGUCCACACCGUAAACGAUGAUUACUAGGUGUUGGGGGAU
rnacentral:rRNA from 1 species